rnacentral:rRNA from 1 species
AUGCCGCAGCACUUCUGGUCUGUGGAGGGGGCGGAGGAGGCGCUCGGCUGUCGUGUCGACCGCCUCGACAGCCGCACGUUUGAGCGCAGCCACACCAAGAGCUUCGCCUGCUGGGUCUGGAUCUGGGACGUUGGCCUUAUCCCGACCAAGCACACCUUCUGGCUGAUGCAGCGCGGGGUGGGCAGAGUGGAGGACAUGCUGGGCUUCUCGCCGCCCGGCCGCGUCGUCGCCGCGCCGCCGUUAGCAAGCCACCACGACGUCCUCAUCCACGUCAAUCGCAUCGAGGACUGGACCCCGUACGAGCCGCGGUCGCCACGCUCUGCUCAGAGUGGCCUGCCGUCCUCGGACUUGGAUGACGAUGAUAGGCCGAUGCCGCACAUCAUCCCGGUGGCCUCCUGA